rnacentral:lncRNA from 1 species
GUGUGCCAGAACUGCUCUGGGGGAAGGCUGACCUGCUAGGGCAAGGAGAGGCCCCCGAGGGCAGCUGGAAUGGGGCAGGUGAGCCCCACCUCUCCUCAGGAGGCUGCCGCCUGGCCUGGGCUGGCCAAGCAGCGGGGGCCUGUCCCCUUCCUCCUCCCCACUCUUCCCCAUGGAGUGCUCACCUGUGUGCCCACAGGGUCAAGUAAUCCAAGAGCAGAGUUGGCAAGGUCACCAGGUGGCUAGACUAGCAUGCUGUCACUAGUCUGGGGUGGGCCUGAGCUUCAGGAUCUCCCAGAAGAAAGGACCACAGCCAGUUGGGAAGUGUGGUGGCCUCUGGGUAUGCACUCCAGGGACGGAGAUGUCCCUGAGGUUUUUGGAUACUGGCAGGACCGGCCCUUCCAGGGAGGCAGGCUAGGGGCUUGGCCAGGUGACACCUCAGGAGCCCAGGUGCCUCCAGCCAGGGUCAUGCCUGCGGAUAUGGCUUUGCCUGCAGCCAGCCGUGGGGUCCUGGGGAUGCCCGAGUCGGGAGGCUUUGCUCCAGGGACCCUGGUGCUCACAGGACCAGUGGGAGUCCAUGGGCUUGCAGCCUGGUCACCUCCCUUUGCUGGGGCAUGGAGUUGUGGGGUGGCUUCUGUCCUGCCCUGGCUGAUGUCAGAAUCAAAAGCUUUGGGAACCUCGGUUCUGCCAGUCUGGGUCAGGGGUCAGGGGGGGUCAGUCUGGGGUCAGGAGCUGCUGUGCCUACAGCAGACGGGUGGUUCUUUGUGUGGCCAGAGGGUGAGCCGCAGGAGCCAUGAGGACGGAGAGCAGAGGCAGGCCACCUGGCCACACAGGUGGGCGCUGAGGGGGGUGGGCAGGGCGUGGCCGCCUCAUCUGCUUUGGCUGUGGGCACAUCUGUCCCUCCAAGAGCCCAAGAACAGACCCUGGGCAGGGGCCCUGGCCUGGACAUCCGACUCUGAGCAAACCGCCCUCCUGGGGCCAGGAACCAGCACCACAGAGAGGACCAAACAAAGGACUUGCACUCCCCAGUGCCAGAGGCCAGGGGCCCAAAAUGCAGGGCCGGGCUCCCUCCCAGGACCUGGGCUGUUGAGAGCCACAGCCGAAUCGGAAUGGCCCCUGGCAUUUUGCCAGAAGUAAUGGUUGAGAGGCAGCCAAAAUUACAUAUAAGAGGUUGUGAGGGGAAUGGGAAAAUAAACAAGGAGAGAAAUGAAUUACA